UAUUAGGAUGGUGCAAAAGUAAUCACGGUUUUUGUCAUUAAAAGUAACGGCAAAAACAAAAACCGUGAUUACUUUUGCACCAACCUA
ensembl:miRNA